rnacentral:rRNA from 1 species
CCUACGGGUGGCUGCAGUGGGGAAUUUUGGACAAUGGGGGCAACCCUGAUCCAGCCAUGCCGCGUGAGUGAAGAAGGCCUUCGGGUUGUAAAGCUCUUUCGGCCGGGAGGAAAUCGCAUAGGUUAAUACCCUGUGUGGAUGACAGUACCGGAAUAAGAAGCACCGGCUAACUACGUGCCAGCAGCCGCGGUAAUACGUAGGGUGCGAGCGUUAAUCGGGCGUACUGGGCGGAAAGCGUAAGCAAGCGGUUAAAUCCCCGGGCUCAACCUGGGAACUGCGCUUGUGACUGGAAGGCUAGAGUAUGGCAGAGGGGGGUGGAAUUCCACGUGUAGCAGUGAAAUGCGUAGAGAUGUGGAGGAACACCGAUGGCGAAGGCAGCCCCCUGGGCCAAUACUGACGCUCAUGCACGAAAGCGUGGGGAGCAAACAGGAUUAGAUACCCCGGUAGUC